AGAGUUUGAUUCUGGCUCAGGAUGAACGCUAGCGGCAGGCUUAACACAUGCAAGUCGAGGGGUAUAGGUUUUCGGACCUAGAGGCCGGCGCACGGGUGCGUAACGCGUAUGCAAUCUACCUUUUACAGAGGGAUAGCCCAGAGAAAUUUGGAUUAAUACCUCAUAGUAUUAUUGAAUGGCAUCAUUUAAUAAUUAAAGUCACAACGGUAAAAGAUGAGCAUGCGUCCCAUUAGCUUGUUGGUAAGGUAACGGCUUACCAAGGCGACGAUGGGUAGGGGUCCUGAGAGGGAGAUCCCCCACACUGGUACUGAGACACGGACCAGACUCCUACGGGAGGCAGCAGUGAGGAAUAUUGGUCAAUGGGCGCAAGCCUGAACCAGCCAUGCCGCGUGCAGGAUGAAGCAUCUAUGGUGUGUAAACUGCUUUUGUGCGAGAAGAAACACUCCUUCGUGAAGGAGCUUGACGGUAUCGUAAGAAUAAGGACCGGCUAACUCCGUGCCAGCAGCCGCGGUAAUACGGAGGGUCCAAGCGUUAUCCGGGAAUCAUUGGGUUUAAAGGGUCCGUAGGCGGUUUUGUAAGUCAGUGGUGAAAGCCCAUCGCUCAACGGUGGAACGGCCAUUGAUACUGCAAGACUUGAAUUAUUAGGAAGUAACUAGAAUAUGUAGUGUAGCGGUGAAAUGCUUAGAGAUUACAUGGAAUACCAAUUGCGAAGGCAGGUUACUACUAAUGGAUUGACGCUGAUGGACGAAAGCGUGGGUAGCGAACAGGAUUAGAUACCCUGGUAGUCCACGCCGUAAACGAUGGAUACUAGCUGUUCGGAGCAAUCUGAGUGGCUAAGCGAAAGUGAUAAGUAUCCCACCUGGGGAGUACGUUCGCAAGAAUGAAACUCAAAGGAAUUGACGGGGGCCCGCACAAGCGGUGGAGCAUGUGGUUUAUUUCGAUGAUACGCGAGGAACCUUACCAAAGGCUUAAAUGUAGAUUGACCGGUUUGGAAACAGAUCUUUCGCAAGACAAUUUACAAGGUGCUGCAUGGUUGUCGUCAGCUCGUGCCGUGAGGUGUCAGGUUAAGUCCUAUAACGAGCGCAACCCCUGUCGUUAGUUGCCAGCGAGUCAUGUCGGGAACUCUAACGAGACUGCCAGUGUAAACUGUGAGGAAGGUGGGGAUGACGUCAAAUCAUCACGGCCCUUACGCCUUGGGCUACACACGUGCUACAAUGGCCGGUACAGAUAGCAGCCACUGGGCGACCAGGAGCGAAUCUAUAAAACCGGUCACAGUUCGGAUCGGAGUCUGCAACUCGACUCCGUGAAGCUGGAAUCGCUAGUAAUCGGAUAUCAGCCAUGAUCCGGUGAAUACGUUCCCGGGCCUUGUACACACCGCCCGUCAAGCCAUGGAAGCUGGGGGUGCCUGAAGUCGGUGACCGCAAGGAGCUGCCUAGGGUAAAACUGGUAACUAGGGCUAAGUCGUAACAAGGUA
rnacentral:rRNA from 1 species